ACAUCUGCAAAAGUAGUAAUUCCAUUAUUUUUUAGAAUCAAUCCUUAAGCUACCAGCAAGUUAUUGAUACUGCUUUAAAUCAUCUAGAAGAUUUUAAUACUGUCAACUCUGUUCUAGAUCAUGCAAGUGAAGAGAUAGUUCAUCCUUCCCCUGCGUCGUUGCCUCCUCCAGUAGGUGCAAUCAAAAUAAAUUUUGAUGCAGCUAUUUCUAGCCGUG
rnacentral:misc_RNA from 1 species